rnacentral:rRNA from 1 species
AGUGAACGCUGGCGGUAGGCCUAACACAUGCAAGCCGAACGGCAGCACAGUAAGAGCUUGCUCUUACGGGUGGCGAGUGGCGGACGGGUGAGGAAUACAUCGGAAUCUACUUUUUCGUGGGGGAUAACGUAGGGAAACUUACGCUAAUACCGCAUACGACCUACGGGUGAAAGCAGGGGAUCUUCGGACCUUGCGCGAUUGAAUGAGCCGAUGUCGGAUUAGCUAGUUGGCGGGGUAAAGGCCCACCAAGGCGACGAUCCGUAGCUGGUCUGAGAGGAUGAUAAGCCACACUGGAACUGAGACACGGUCCAGACUCCUACGGGAGGCAGCAGUGGGGAAUAUUGGACAAUGGGCGCAAGCCUGAUCCAGCCAUACCGCGUGGGUGAAGAAGGCCUUCGGGUUGUAAAGCCCUUUUGUUGGGAAAGAAAAGCAGCAGGUUAAUACCCCGCUGUUCUGACGGUACCCAAAGAAUAAGCACCGGCUAACUUCGUG